AGAGUUUGAUCAUGGCUCAGAUUAAACGCUGGCGGCAUGCCUUACACAUGCAAGUCGAACGGCAGCACGGGGGCAACCCUGGUGGCGAGUGGCGAACGGGUGAGUAACGCAUCGGAACGUGCCCUGGAGUGGGGGAUAACGUAGCGAAAGUUACGCUAAUACCGCAUAUUCUGUGAGCAGGAAAGCAGGGGAUCGCAAGACCUUGCGCUCUGGGAGCGGCCGAUGUCGGAUUAGCUAGUUGGUGAGGUAAAGGCUUACCAAGGCGACGAUCUGUAGCGGGUCUGAGAGGAUGAUCCGCCACACUGGAACUGAGACACGGUCCAGACUCCUACGGGAGGCAGCAGUGGGGAAUUUUGGACAAUGGGCGCAAGCCUGAUCCAGCCAUGCCGCGUGAGUGAAGAAGGCCUUCGGGUUGUAAAGCUCUUUCGGCCGGGAAGAAAUCGCAUGGGUUAAUACCCUGUGUGGAUGACGGUACCGGAAUAAGAAGCACCGGCUAACUACGUG
rnacentral:rRNA from 1 species